rnacentral:tmRNA from 1 species
GGGGAUGAAAGGAUUUCGACGGGGUUGUUGAACCUUGGUCAGCGAGUAGUGGAGUUGCACCACUUAAAAAGUAACAACUUAAAAUUAACUGACAAUAAAACAGUUUCUUUGAAGGCUGCGUAAGCACCCUUCCGUUCUCCUUCGGUAGUGCCACGGACUGAUUGAGAGCGUCGACUUAGUGGCGAACAUGAAUGGGGGAGCGCCUUGGCCCUCAUCAGGUAAUAAAGGCUACCGUAGCUGAAAGAAUGUUUGCUUUCGUUCAGCGAGGGGAAUCUUAAAUAACAAACUACACUCGUAGAGCCCUUGGCAAGAUAAUUUCGGACGCGAGUUCGACUCUCGCCAUCUCCACCA